rnacentral:tRNA from 1 species
GCCCGGGUGGCGGAACUGGCAGACGCACAGGACUUAAAAUCCUGCGAACCCUCUAAGGUUCGUACCGGUUCGAUUCCGGUCCCGGGCACCA